rnacentral:rRNA from 1 species
UACGUAGGGUGCAAGCGUUGUCCGGAAUUAUUGGGCGUAAAGAGCUCGUAGGCGGUCUGUCACGUCGGCUGUGAAAACCCGGGGCUCAACCCCGGGCCUGCAGUCGAUACGGGCUGGCUAGAGGCAGGCAGGGGAGAACGGAAUUCCUGGUGUAGCGGUGAAAUGCGCAGAUAUCAGGAGGAACACCGGUGGCGAAGGCGGUUCUCUGGGCCUGUACUGACGCUGAGGAGCGAAAGCGUGGGGAGCGAACAGG